rnacentral:rRNA from 1 species
UACGGAGGGGGUUAGCGUUGUUCGGAAUUACUGGGCGUAAAGCGUACGUAGGCGGAUCAGAAAGUUGGGGGUGAAAUCCCGGGGCUCAACCCCGGAACUGCCUCCAAAACUCCUGGUCUUGAGUUCGAGAGAGGUGAGUGGAAUUCCAAGUGUAGAGGUGAAAUUCGUAGAUAUUUGGAGGAACACCAGUGGCGAAGGCGGCUCACUGGCUCGAUACUGACGCUGAGGUACGAAAGUGUGGGGAGCAAACAGG